CCUACGGGUGGCAGCAGUGGGGAAUAUUGCACAAUGGGCGCAAGCCUGAUGCCGCCAUGCCGCGUGUGUGCAGAAGGGCUUCGGGUUGUAAAGCACUUUCAGCGGGGAGGAAGGCGUUAAGGUUAAUAACCUUGGCGAUUGACGUUACCCGCAGAAGAAGCACCGGCUAACUCCGUGCCAGCAGCCGCGGUAAUACGGAGGGUGCAAGCGUUAAUCGGAAUUACUGGGCGUAAAGCGCACGCAGGCGGUCUGUCAAGUCGGAUGUGAAAUCCCCGGGCUCAACCUGGGAACUGCAUUCGAAACUGGCAGGCUAGAGUCUUGUAGAGGGGGGUAGAAUUCCAGGUGUAGCGGUGAAAUGCGUAGAGAUCUGGAGGAAUACCGGUGGCGAAGGCGGCCCCCUGGACAAAGACUGACGCUCAGGUGCGAAAGCGUGGGGAGCAAACAGGAUUAGAUACCCGGGUAGUC
rnacentral:rRNA from 1 species